GCUUGAGAUGCUGAAUGGAGAUGCUAUGCAUAAGUGUGCCAGGACACAAAGCAUAAACCAAGAUUGGCCUUGGCAAAGCAGGGCAUAUGGCACCCUCCUCGUGUUUCAGCUAAAGAAACCCUGACCCGGAGUACCAAGUGCCUUACCAGGUCCCACAGCUUACGAGGUGACAGGACGCAAAGGCAGAUAUUCACUUCACUCGACUCCAUGGCCCAGCACCUCCAUUCCGCGAGAGACAUGAUUAUUUCAGCAAUGAAACCUACCAAAUGUUCAAAAUGACUCACAAGGCAGCGAGCGGCACGGAGAUUGGAUUGUGAGAGCUUCGGGAUGGAAAAGUUCAAGUUUUGGACCCAGCCAGGGACCCUAAGAAGGCGGAGAAAAACUUCCCCCCUGCUGCAAGGAUCAGCACAGCACCGUGAAGCAAAGCACUCUCUAUCUUUCAGACAAAGAAACUGAAGCUCCAAGAGUUUAAAUGACUUGCCCUAAGUAAGGGGGCCAGACAUAAGGGGAGAAAAACACAGGAUACCUAGUUCAAUUUAUUCCAGGUGACUUUUGGUGGACUCCUCGAUGGCUCCUGGAUGGGUCCAGUCCCCAGAAAGACCAAGCCAUGAUGAGAAGCUCGGAAUUUUCAGCCCUCUCCCACCACCACCGCCCCCCCCCCCUAUUUUCCAGAAAGGGGAGAGGGGCUGGAUACGCAGUUAAUAAUUGAUCGUGCCUAAGCCCCAAGGUAUGGAGUUAGGAGAGCUUCUAGGUGGGUGAACACAUCCGCGUCACAUACUAGGAGGGUGACACAGCCCAAUCCACAGGAACAGAAGUUUCUGCGCUCAGGAUUCUCCCAGACCUCACCCUAGGUGCCUCUUCAUCUGGCUGUUCAUCUGUGUCCUUUAGCACAUCCAUUAUUAUAUAGUAAACAGGUAAACAUAAGUAAGUGUUUUCUGGAGUGCUGUGAGCUGUUCUAGGAAACAAUCAAAUCCAAGGCGGAGGACGUCAUGGGAACCUCUGAUGUGUAGCCAAGUCAGACAGAAGGUGUGGGUCACCCGGAGACCUACUACGUGCAGUGCCGUCUGAAGUAGGGGCAGUCUCAGGCAACUGAGCCCUCAGCCCGUGAGAUAGGGUGCUACCUGGAGGUAGAUGGUGUCGGAGAAUUGCUUGGUGCAGAAACCUGGCCGCACCUGGUGUCAGAAGUACUGUGAGUGUGACAGUCGCUGAGAGAGGAGGAGACACGCGGGAGGACAAGUGCAGGCUUCCUGCUCGGCCACAGCUCUGGAAUCUCACAGUGCCAGGCUGCCGUGGGACAGGGUUUCCUCUGGUGACCGAGUUGUCCGCUCGCAACGGGGUGCUGCCUACAAGACCCUUCGAGUCCGGUGGCCCUGGUGCUGCAGUGACAUGGGGCGCAGGCCUUUGGGACCAACUAAUUGCCUAAAUGUGGAAGAGUCAGAAGCGAAUUCCAGGAGAAAAAACACACAUAUAUCCAUUAGCAUCUUACGGUAUUCUCCCGCCUUACAUUACAACAUAAUGUCCGAGCUAUGCUUUUGCAAAUAAACUAUUUACACGUUAUGAAUUCCUCAUUCGAUACACUGCUGUCUACAGCUCUGUCAUUAAAAUUAAUAUAAUCGGCUUAACACAUUGCAGCCAGACCGAUUUCCUGAAGGCGGAUUCAUCAGAUUAGUUCAGAGCUCAGAUCCCUCCAAAGGCUCUCCUUUGUCUCUGGAACGUAGUAGUCCUGGCUCCUGGGUUUGGCGCCGGAGAACGUUCACAACCUAUUCCCUUCUGUUUUCAUCUCUGGCUUCCACAACCUGACACAGCCAGUCACAUCUGAUGGGCGGGUGCCCAUCAGAGCACCACCCCCUGAAGUGUUGCCAUGCCCCCCUGCUGCCUCUCCACACCUGUCAAGCAUAACUCUUGGGUUCAUACCCUGAAAGGGCGGACCUACACCAGCCGACUCCAUCUUGUUCUGUGUCCUACACCUUAAGUGACUAUGUCCCCGACAUGACCCCUUUUCUGGGAAAAUGGCAGAAACCUCAAACCACGCCUCCUCCCCUUGAGUAACCUCCCGCUCACCCGUUCAAACUUCCCGAUCAAAACAUGCCCAGAGACCUGCGGACCGGGACUCCAACCCUUCCCCAGCCAAUCGGCUGAGGCCAUGACCCUUCCCCAGCCAAUCAGCUGAGG